UGCCACUUAACCCACCAAGGGUCAUGUAAAUCAAAUUUUAGUAUCGAAAAUGCAUAAUGAUUGCUAAGUGAACAACAAGCAGACUAAGGGGAGAAAAUGUCCAUCAUCAUAUUUAAGUUCUUUUCUUUUGGUACAUUCAUGUUUUAAGUAUUUUAAGAGCAUGUAUCUAACAGUUAAAAGGUAUAACUAUGAGCAACAACAUAGCAAUUAGUUAACAAUUCUACAAGUGGUGAAAAGUUGAGUUUUAAGACAGAUAUAUAGAAACUCAAACUGUUCUCUAACAUUUUAAUUAGUAGUACUUAUAUUAAGAGAAUAAGAGGUAAGAGAUAUUGCAACGACUUUAUAAUGAAUCCUUACUAUCAGUUCUGUUAAGAUGGGAUGGUCUGAGGAGUAAAAUAUUGAAAAGAAGAAAAACCAAUGAAGCACACAAUUUUAUGAAAAUUAGACCAGCCACUAAACAUAGAAGGAUUUUCAAAUUCUCAUACCAAUUUUCUAAAUAUCAAUGAAGGAGAUUAUUGAGUGACAGAUUGAGGAGAAAAGAAUGCAAACAAACAUUGUACAUGAAAAGGAAUCAAAUGACUACAAAAUCCCCUCAAUAUUCACGCACCGAUUCCAAUAUCCUUCAUUUGUUUUGUUAGGGAGAAAAACAGAUAUAUAUGGAUAUCCCAUUUUUACAAAAAACACCCCUUUGACACUCCUUAUUUGUCUCUCUUUUUGUCACAUCUUAUUACUUAUCUAUAUUAUUGAAUCACAUUUAAGGGAUUCCUUGAUUCGGACCGAAGAAGCAAUGUCACUCGAUCCUUAUCAAACUUAUUGUAAUCUUUUUCUGUACGUAAGGAUCCCACCAGAGCGUCUUCUACUUCUAAUAGACCAUGAACUAAUCAAAAUUAUUCUCAACAAGUUCAUAAAAUGUGAUUCCAUUUUUUUCAUCAGAUCCAGGUAGAGACCAAAGGUCUUGAGCGACGGAUCGGUAGAACAAUUCAAAAGAAAAAUGGAGAUAGAAGAGGUGAAACAAACCCCAACGUGGAGAGUAAUGGUGGCGUCGUCGCCGGAGGAAGAGCACCGCAGAGGCGUAACGGAGUUGAGGCGGCGAUGAAGUGGUCUAAUAA